rnacentral:rRNA from 1 species
AGCGAACGCUGGCGGCAGGCCUAACACAUGCAAGUCGAACGAACUCUUCGGAGUUAGUGGCGGACGGGUGAGUAACACGUGGGAACGUGCCUUUUGGUUCGGAAUAACUCAGGGAAACUUGUGCUAAUACCGAAUGUGCCCUUCGGGGGAAAGAUUUAUCGCCAUUAGAGCUGCCCGCUUCUGAUUAGCUAGUUGGUGAGGUAACGGCUCACCAAGGCGACGAUCAGUAGCUGGUAUGAGAGGAUGACCAGCCACACUGGGACUGAGACACGGCCCAGACUCCUACGGGAGGCAGCAGUGGGGAAUCUUGCGCAAUGGGCGAAAGCCUGACGCAGCCAGGCCGCGUGAAUGAUAAAGGUCUUAGGAUUGUAAAAUUCUUUCACCGGGGACGAUAAUGACGGUACCCGGAGAAGAAGCCCCGGCUAACUUCGUG